rnacentral:lncRNA from 1 species
GAAACUGUCCUCCCAACACUGAUUGAUUAAGCAUUCGUGUGGCGCAACACCUGCACUUCUCUCUUCGCACGUUAAUAACACGCAAUGAUGAAUACGGCGUCGUUUCUGUGCACCGAGUUACCACCGUGACGUGUGCUGCAUACGCUCACUGGACACGAGUGUGAUUAGUGGAAGAGUGUCUAUCUAAAGUGUGACUAACAUAGACGUUCGUAAAUUUUGAGAGUGUAGUACACUCUGCGAAAUGGACCCCCCACCCCACCGGUUUGAA